CCUUCAAAAAAAUAAGUUCACACUCCAAAAUAAAACUGGGAACUGAGCAUUACUCAGCAGAGAAGCUGCUUAGAAUGAUGCACAGACUGGAGCAGGGUGGGGGAGCAUGUUGGAAAGUGACUGAAUCUGCCUGCUCAGUCUCCCCCUGCAAUGCAGCCCCUCCUAAGAAGGGCGGAAGGACUCCCCACCCCCUCCCUGCCUGACUCGGCUAAUUCAAAUGAUAGGUUCCAGAACACUUUAGGGAGGGAGAGAGGAUUAAAGCAUCUCGUGCCUCAGCAGUCCAGGGGGGAGCUGUGCUCUCGGCUCGGAGCUCAGCCGGACGGGUUUCGUAAUCGCGUCGCUGCCGCUUCCGCCCUCCGCCAGCCCCACCUCUGCCGGCCCGCCCUCGGCUCCCCCACCGCGCGAAGGAGCUAGCCGGGGAACCCCUCACCGGCGGCCGCGGAGCAGGACUCCCCCGCCCCCCACCAGCUGUAGCUGGACGCCUUGAUGUCGGAGAAGAGCAGGGUUCCAAGUCUGAGGAAGACAUAACCUUGUGCCUGCCUGCCCACUUCUCUCUCUGGCCCUGUAAAUCUCUCAGGAUCUGAGACACUGACCUUCAUUGUUUAGUGAAGAGUUCUGAAGAUUCUACUUUCUCUAGACCCAUCCAGCUGAGUGAACCCAGGGUUUUGUUACACCUUAGAAAAGUGAGGAGUGGGUGGUCAAGGCACCAAAGCAAGAGCCCUCUGGGGCCCAGACAGAGGAGUGAAGCUGGAACCAUCAGGGAACAUGAGUGAAUUUUGGCACAAACUGGGCUGCUGUGUGGUAGAGAAACCCCAGCCGAAGAAGAAGCGAAGACGGAUUGACCGGACCAUGAUUGGGGAACCAAUGAAUUUUGUUCACCUGACUCACAUUGGCUCUGGGGAGAUGGGGGCCGGAGAUGGACUUGCCAUGACAGGUGCAGUUCAGGAGCAGAUGAGGUCCAAGGGAAACCGAGACAGGCCAUGGAGCAAUUCUCGGGGCUUGUAGCUCCAACAGGAAUGGUUUUGGCAUCUUGAAGCCCCGAUUCUGUGUCCAGCCUAGAAGAAAUGCUGCCCCCACCAGAUGCCUCCUAGAACCAGUGACCCAAGGGCCCCUCUUUCCCCUAUCUACCUAACAGUGCCUCAAAAGGCUUAGGGGGCUGGACUCCCUCUACUCCCUCUGGCUAUAGCCCCUCCUGGAGAUGGGGUCAAGGCAGCAGGACUGACCAAGUGACUACUGGUUGGCCAGAGGCGUUCAGCUGAAACCCUGGACACCCUCAGAUCUGAGAUAGGAGUUCUGGGAACCUGGAAUGAGUUCCCUUUUCCUGAAUGAUGGUCUGGGUACCACUUGUUUUUAAACUCUUAACCUGGAACUCCUUAAAUGGGGUAGGUGGGUGAGAUAACCAAAGCUGAUGCCAGUUUUGCCAAGAAGCUCCAUACCUCCCUGCCUUUCUCCUCUUUCUUCCUGGAAUGAACUAAAGCAGAUGUCAAGCAGAAGGGGUGACUACUGCCUAGCCUCCUCUUUCUCUGUAGAUUUCAGACCUUAAGCUUAUAGACCCUCGGUCCCUCUGCCAACACCAGGGUGUUUCUCUAUUUAGGCUUCUAAUCCUAUGUUUCUAUAGCAUUAUUAGCUUCCCAGCAACUUUCCUUUUUUAAAAAAAAUUAAAAAUUUGAGUUCUCUUAAUUAUCUCCAUCUACUUCUAUUGCUAUUCCUUCUGCCUUUAACCCUAUCCCUGUUAGGAACCUUAUUGUUUCCCUGAUGACAUUCCAUGUAAGUUUUGGGGGACCUGUCCUGUUUGUUCUCUGCCACCCUCCCUGCUGGCCCAGGUGAGAGGAGGAAGAGAGGUCAGGAGAGAAAUCCAGAAUGCAAAAAAACUAGGGGUUAUAUAUCAAGGUAGACUUCUGACUAUUGAGGAUGGGAGAGGUGGUGAGAUAAAUAGGUUGAAAACAAUCAUCUUUGAGUUUAGGGGUCUUAUGAUCCUCACAGAUUGGAAACAGGGAGAGGGUCUAGAACAAGGUUUCUCAACCUAGAGAUUUUCGGAUGGAUAAUUCUAUGUAAUGGAGAGCUGUUUUGUGCAUUAUAGGUUGUUUAGCAGCAUGCCUGGCCCACCCUAGUUAUGACAACCCAAAAUGUCUCCAGAUGUUGUCAAAUGUCUAAGGGCAAAAUUGCCUCCAGUUGAGAACUGUAGCUCUAGAGUCAAAGAUACUUUUCUCUUAAGUGAUUUCCACCCUGCACCCUAUCUUCGUCCUAUUAUUCACCUUAAGCCUGAGCCAUGGAUGAACUAGGACUCUUUAUAAAUUAGGCUCAAUAGGGCUGCUUAUUCAAUGUGUUGCUUGUGUUUGUGUGGUCUCAUGUCUUUGUGAUGAACAUGUACUAUGCUUCUCCAUUCUUGUCCCCUGGAGGAGGGGUUCCUGCAGUGUGGAGACAUGAACAGGGUAUUGUAGGAUUGGGGUAGGGGGAGAGAAAAGCAGUAGACACACGCCACCUUAUCCUCCCCAUAUUUUCAGUUCUAUUUCUGUGCCCUGGUCCUAAAACCAGAUACAAAUAAGACUCAGGGAGUUUUGUCUGAAGACCAGGUCCCGCUGCCCACCUGGCUGAAAAUCUACUUUAGAUGAGAAAGCAAUAUAGGAGCAGAGUCUUUAGGCACUUUCAGUUUUCUCAGGUGUUUUUUGUUCUAGCCCUUUCCUCGUAGGCUAAUUAGGAAGACAGAACAAGAUAGAUGAACUUCUGCCUGCUCUGAGACAAGAAGGCUGGGGUCUCUUAUUAUCUCUGCAGCCAGAAGCAUCCUCUUUUAUGGUAGUGGGGGUCAGGAAUGUUGGAACUGGCAUGCACUUUGCUGAUUCCACCAUCCAUCCAGUUUGCUCCCACCUCCAGUACAGUGACUAAGGUUCUAAUUUUUAAAAAUUUCGGUGUAUUUCCUGCUGCUUUUCAAGAUUGGUCAUAAAAUUACAUUCCCAAUUUACUCUUAGCUUCAGUCUAGCUGGUUGCUCUCUGAUCAGUAGCCUGAGUGUUACACUAGAGAUCUAAAGUGUUAACAGGAUAGGGUAGAAAGGUUGUGGACUCCUAGAAUCUCUGGUCACCAUGAUCUUCAGCCUCAUUCUGAUAUCUGUUCUUUGGACACAGUCUUGUCUUUUCUUUGGUGCUCUCUUGCCUUUAGCUACCUUCUCUAAUGUGUAUGCUAUCAUCACUUUAAUAAUAAAGUGAUGGGAAUGGGUUUGAGAGUCAUAAUUUAUAUUAAAAAAUUGUUGGACUUUUAAAUACAUUUUUCAAAUAAAAACUUUUAAGCA